rnacentral:misc_RNA from 1 species
GAUGAAGAACGUAGCGAAAUGCGAUAAGUAAUGCGAAUUGCAGAAUUCCGUGAGUCAUCGAAUCUUUGAACGCACAUUGCGCCCUCUGGUAUUCCGGAGGGCAUGCCUGUCUGAGCGUCAUUGUCAACCCUCAAGCUCAGCUUGCUGUUGGGUCCCCGUCGUUGCUUUAACGGCGGACCCGAAAGGUAAUGGCAGAGUCCGUGAGACCCUAGACGCAGCGAGCUUCUAGCACGCGUCUGGACGUUUUUCGGGCUCGGUCUUAACUAGAUGAUAACUUCCGAUUGACCUCAGAUCAGGUAGGGAUACCCGCUGAGUUUAAGCAUAUCAAUAAGCGGAGGA